rnacentral:lncRNA from 1 species
CGGUCUGGUCUGGGUUGACACUACUGCAAUUAGCGGUUUAAGGUCCUGGGUUCGAUUCCUGGGGAGACCCCCGAAUUAGUCGGGAGCGCGAGAUUAUGGCUAGCUGCUGAGAUGUGGAGUUGAGGUCACAGUUGAUGGACCAGAUUCGCACGCUGGAUUGGUGGCGAUUGCCGAACCCUCCGUCUCUUCGGGUGUUCGGGUGAAUGGAUGAGGAGGGGUCCCUGAAGGCUGGAUCCGCCGCCUUGGACUUACAGUUCGUAUGGCGAAGUACAGUGUGGUAGUGGUGGAUGGUGCUAUAAGGUGAUAAAUGAUCUAGAACUGACAAUGUGAUAAAGCGGCCCAGAAGCUUCCCACUCUGUAACAUUACAUUACAUUACAUUCCUGAGAUAGUUUGCUGUCGCCAACGCUUCCGCCCAUAAUGACUUCGGCAGUCCGGACUCGCAGCAUAGCCCUAGUCUUGUUCAGAAGAGUGCGAUGUAAACGUUCAGCUGCUCCGUUCUGCUCAGGAGUAUAACCCACCAUAGUUCCAUGCAAAAUACCCCUGGAUGCGAAGUAGCUCUUCAUGCGAGUAUUCACAAACACCCCGCCACGACCCGUGCGCACCUCCUUAACCUGUCGGCCAGACGCACGUUCCAGCUCCGCUAUCCUCACCAGCACCUUCUAUCUCCUCCUUGGUCGCUGUAAACGCAACAGCUGACAGACCGGUAUGAUCGUCAAGCAGAGUCGUCACGUAACGCGAACCGCUAGGCGAAGGUUCAGGCAUAGGUCCACACACAUCCAUGUGAACUAGUGCAAAGCGAGAGGAGACACAUCAGAAGGUGGAGGUGAUGAUAAGCGGAGCUGGAACGUGCAUCUGGUCGGCAGGUAAAGGAGGUGCGCACAGAUCGUGGCGGGGAAUUUGUGAAUACUCGCACGAAAAGCUACUUCGCAUCAAGGGGUAUUUUGCACGGAACUACGGCGGGCUACACCCCUGAGCAGAACGGAGCAGAAGAACAGCCAAAUUGCACUCUUCCGGACAAGACCGGGGGGCUAUGCUCGUCGAGUCCGGACUGCCGAAGUCGUUGUGGGCGGAAGCCAAUACCUCCGGAAUGUGUCGCCAAUUGCGGGGUCAACCGUCACGCCGUAUGAGGCAUUCUUCAACGUACGUCCGAACGUCAGUCCCCUUUUUUUUGGGUGCGUCGUCUACGUCCAUGUACCCGACGUAAAACGUGACAAGCUCGAUCUGGUGAGCAGGCGUGGAAUCCUAGUUGUGUUAAGACCAGCAAAGCGCCAGACACCCGUUGGGUCCUAUUGAAGUGGUUACUAUUCACUGGAAUAUGAGUGUCGGUAAUUUCCAACAUCCCUCGGUGAUCGGCACUCUCUCGCUCCGGACCUUCCCGUGCCUCGUCCCGGUCUCCAAUUCUCUGGGCAAUAGCCAGUAAGUAUCGAUCCGGCGAGCUCUAGGCAGCGCAAUGCGCCGUUCGGGGCUCCUAAUCUGAUAAAGAUAUGAAGGCAAGGAGCUCGGUCGCGAUCAAGGAUUACAGUCCAUAAGUAAAUAGUGAACGGCAGGAUUUUAAAAGAUUCCUACCUAGGAAUACCGAUCCGUACAAAGAAGAGAUAGAAACUCUUGCCUUAUGUACCGAUACCAACGGAAGUACCGUACAGUCGCCCACCACCCCUCCUGAACACGAGGAGACGUCCGAGAUACGCGGCCGGAGGGACUAGUCGGAUCAAUCAACCGGAUUCGCCCACCUAUCACCCUGCACUUAUUGAGGAAACGGUCCUCUCCCAACUCGUGUGGUUGUCGACCAGGGGAUUUUACCACGGGUCUGUGUGUGACUCUUGGGGAGACUUAUCUCUCAACUAAUGGGAUUACCGAUGCAAAUCCGGUAGUUAAGAGGUCAACAUUUGGCCACCGUCAGGACGGCGCAGUGAGAUCGCGGAAUGUACGAGGGCAACCCAUGAGUUUUCCGCUGGCGCCGGUAUUUAGGGCGGUGACCGCGCUUAUAUCUCUCUCUCACUUUCAACGAGCUGUAUUCCUAAUAGGAAUCUCCUAAAGUCCUGCCAAACGCAAUUUACAGUUUUACAUUACUUAUAACCUUUUAUCGUGCCCUAUAUCUUCGCCGCCGGCAUUCCUUUCCGAAAUAAAUGUCGCCGCCAGCUGCCAUCGCAGUCGAUUCUUCAACAGGUUAUGAGCCCCGUCUAGCGCCGACAGCUAUCGCUCGACUUGUUAUUUCUACCCCUUAUCGAAAAUGGCGAAGGACAAACUUGAUGAGCUACUACACGUGACUAAUUCGGUUUGCGGAAGCAAUGGCAAGUCCACAUGCAGACGACUGGCGGCGUGCGAUGGACGAGGAGAUCGCCGCCCAGAUGGCUAAUAGUACUUGGGAGCUGAAGAAGCCACCGCCUGGUACUCGUUUGUUGCCGUGUCGGUGGGUUUAUAAGGUUAAGUACAGCAAUGACGGCAGCGUGGAGCGUUUUAAGGCGUGAUUGGUUGCAAAGGGUUUCGAGCAACGUGAGGGGAUUGAUUAUGGGGAGUUGUUUGCCCCCACCUCUCGUGGUUCGUCAUUACAUGCUUUAUUAGCAGUUUCCGCAGCGCUGAACAUGACGGUGCAUCAGCUAGAUGUGUCUACUGCAUUCUUGAAUGGUGAGCUGAAGGAGGAGUUGUGGAUGGAGCAACCGCCUGGGUAUGCAUCCAGUGACCGGUCGCUUGCGUGCAAGCUGCAGAAGUCUAUUUAUGGUUUGAAGCAGGCACCCCGUUGCUAUUGAAGAAUUGGCGACGGUGACAGCUAACGCUAAUUGUUAUUCCGGAAGGAUUGCCGGUGGCGAAGAUAUUUAGCACGAUAAACUGUUACAAGUAAUGUAAAGAGUAUUGUUAGCGUUCGGCAGGACUUGAGGAGAUUCCUGGUAGGAAUACCGAUCGUUGUGAGAUAAACUAAUAGGCGCAGUCACCGCCCUAAAUACCGGCGCUAGCGGAAAACUCGUACAUUCCGCGAUCUAACUGCACGUACAUUCCGCGAUCUCACUGCGCCGUCCAGACGGUGCCCUAAUGUCUAUCACUUAGCUACCGGAUAUGCAUCGGUAGCCCCAUAAGGUUCUGGGGUAAGAUUUCCCCAUUAGUCAGGUGCAGACCCGGGGUCAAAUCCCCUGGUCGACAACCACUCGAGUUGGGAGAGGACCGUUUCCUCAACACGCCCCCUCGGGCCGUAUCCCAACGAGUACCAAGUUCAUCUGCAUACUUCACACAAGGCCCAUAGCAUCUCGGCAACGUUUGAACUUCACCUCGCCCAGAGCCUUUGUUAGUACAUCCGCAACCAUCCACUCCGUAGGGCAGUAUUCCAACUGCACCUCACCGCUAUUCACUCGCUCACGUACUAUGUGAUGCUGCACGUCGAUGUGUUUCGACCGAGCAGAUGUAAUCGGGUUGUUUCCCAAGCUAAGCGCCCCCUGGGAGUCUAUCUGGAUUUUCACCGCGCUCUCAGGCAAGCCCAAAUCAACCAUCAGCUUGCGAAGCCACAAAGCCUCACGAACAGCCGCCGCUGUAGCUUGGUACUCAGCCUCCACCGACGAAGCCGCCACAGUACGUUGAAGUUGGCUGCUCCAGCUAAUCGCAGCCCCAUUAAGAGUGAAUACGUAACCGGACGUAGAACGCCGCGUAACUGGGUCUCCUGCCCAGUCCGAAUCACUGUACCCGGACAUAGCAACGUCGCCAACACCCCCAAAACGCAAUCNUAGUUCGCGAGUCCCCGCCAGGNNNNNNNNNNNNNNNNNNNNNNNNNNNNNNNNNNNNNNNNNNNNNNNNNNNNNNNNNNNNNNNNNNNNNNNNNNNNNNNNNNNNNNNNNNNNNNNNNNNNNGUUAGAAACUACGGCAAUAAUGCCGUCCUCGUAUAGUACACGAUACUGUCCACCGUUCCCGUAUCCGACAAGUAUCCACGCCUGCUCACCGGGUCGAACUUGUCGCGCUUGACGUCGGGUACGUGGACGUAGGCAACGCAUCCAAAGACUCGCAGGUGACUGACGUUCGGACGAACAUUAAAGAAAGCUUCGUACGGAGUGACGGUUGACCCAGCAGUUGGCGACACAUUCCUAAGAUAGUUGGCUGUCGCUAACGCCUCCGCCCAUAAUGAUUUAGGCAGUCCAGACUCAACUAGCAUAGCCCUAGUCUUGUCCAAAAGAGUGCGAUUUAAACGUUCUGCAGCUCCGUUCUGCUCAGGGGUGUAGCCUACCGUAGUUCCGUGUAGAAUACCCCUGGAAGCGAAAUAGGCCUUCGUGCGAGUAUUAACGAACUCCCCGCCACGAUCUGUACGCACCUCCUUAACCUGCCUGCCAGUAGCGCGCUCCAGUUCCGCUAUUAUUACCACCAUCUUCUGGUAGACAUCCUCCUUGGUCGCUGUAAACGCAACAGCUGAAAGACCAGUAUGGUCGUCAAGCAGGGUUGUCACGUAACGCGAACCACUAGGCGAAGGUUCAGGCAUAGGCCCACACACAUCCAUGUGAAUGAGCGCGAGAGGCUGCGCUGCCUUAUGCCCAGAUAACGGAAAAGGACCACGUGUAUGUUUAGCAAGGACGCAAGUCUCACACACACACGUGCUGGCUGAUUGUAUGCUGUGUCGGUCAACAUCAAAUCCAGCUACCAUAUUAUGACGCAGCAACGUCUCAAGGUUGCUGUAUCCCAAGUGGCCAUACCUUCGGUGCCAAAGUGCUGCACGUUCAGCUCCGAUACCCACGGCAGCACACACGGCAUCACCACCAGAAGAUAUCCUGUUGUCUUCACGCUUCAGAGCUCCCGUACCUCCACUGCUGUAGCAGACGGGAUACAAAUCCCCAUCCCGCUUUCCAGUCAGCACCAACUGGUUCUGUACGUAUACUUUCGCCUGUCCGCCGCCGAAGACCACACUGCCUCCACGAUCAUCAAUGAUGCGUACCGAUAUGAUUUUGGCGGUGGCCUCCUCGUCGACGUAGACCUUCUUGAAAGUGAUGGCCUGCUNNNNNNNNNNNNNNNNNNNNNNNNNNNNNNNNNNNNNNNNNNNNNNNNNNUGGCACAUGGAGCAUGGCGGACUGGCCCCAGACCGCGUGCUGGACGAGAUAGAGCGACUCACGGCUCGCCUGGUCGACCGCCAACAAGGCCCGGAUGAUCCUGGCCGACGCUUGACUGGUGUGCCCAAGGAACUCCUGAUCGGUCACCCAUCCACAGGAGGCUUUGGUCUGCUGCCCCUCCGGCAACACAUCCAAGCCCGGCAUGCGGUGUGGGCAGCUCGUUUUGUCAUCGCAACCCUAGGGCUGCGAACAGGCAACACGAGAUCAGAUACAGGCGCAACAGACACAGAUAUGCAGGUGGGCGGAGGUAUCCACCCCUGGGUCCGCACGCUUUCAGCCUACCUUCUGCUCACGAACCCCGCUUUCCAGCCGUGGGCCCUGACAACCGCGAGCCCAACUGGGCCCUGGCUUGGGACUCGUGACAUGCCAAAGGAUAUCAGCCGGAUUGUGGGAGCCCUGGGGCACUUGCCGCCACCAGAGGACAUCGGGACCAACCCGCUGACACCCGGUGACUGGUGCUGGGCGACUGCAUUAUGGGGAAAUCCGCUAUUCCCCGAUGCUGGAGGGACCAUCCCGACGGACCGGGGCCGCCGCCCCGGCCUGGAGUACCAAUACCCUGGGCUUGCCACCUGCAGGAAACUACAGACGGUAGGGGACCUGGUGCGGGUUUGGGCCCUGGCAGAGAGCAGCGAUCUGGCAACCCUCCCUAUGACGGUGUGGCUGGAGUGGGCCCAGACUCACCUCGACCCGCUUACCCCGAUCUCCACGUGGGAUAAACCCGUGACCCGGGCAGCCCUCGCGGCGCUGCAUAGCAGCAUAAACCCGGCCUGGCUCGAAGCUGCUAGAACGGUUGAGACCCGGCGACAGCAGCAGCAGCAGCAGCAGCGGGGGCUAACGGAACCGAUGGCAGUGGCAACGGAAGGGGAGGAGGCUGUCAUACCGUCACCAGCACCACUGCUGACCAGCAUGCAAGUGAUGGGUAUGAUUGCUGGGCGAAUUGGGUGGCGUAUACCUGGGAUGGCGGAAGCGNNNNNNNNNNNNNNNNNNNNNNNNNNNNNNNNNNNNNNNNNNNNNNNNNNUGACUGUCGAAUCUGCUCCUCGUUGCACGGCUCGGCGAGCAGGGAUUGCUCAAGCCCAAGCUCCAUGCACAUCGCGCUAAACCGAAUUUGCCAGGUAGAGUAGUUGUUGAGAUCCAGCGACUCAUCAAGCUUGUCCUUAACCAUUGUCGAUGAGGGAUAGAAAUAACAAUUUGGCGAUAACUGUCGGCGUUAAGCGGGGCUCAUAACCUAUUGAAGAAUUGGCGACGGUGACAGCUAACGCUAAUUGUUAUUCCGGAAGGAUUGCCGGUGGCGAAGAUAUUUAGCACGAUAAACUGUUACAAGUAAUGUAAAGAGUAUUGUUAGCGUUCGGCAGGACUUGAGGAGAUUCCUGGUAGGAAUACCGAUCGUUGUGAGAUAAACUAAUAGGCGCAGUCACCGCCCUAAAUACCGGCGCUAGCGGAAAACUCGUACAUUCCGCGAUCUAACUGCACGUACAUUCCGCGAUCUCACUGCGCCGUCCAGACGGUGCCCUAAUGUCUAUCACUUAGCUACCGGAUAUGCAUCGGUAGCCCCAUAAGGUUCUGGGGUAAGAUUUCCCCAUUAGUCAGGCGCAGACCCGGGGUCAAAUCCCCUGGUCGACAACCACACGAGUUGGGAGAGGACCGUUUCCUCAACAGUUGCUGGUAUGAAAAGCUAUCAGCAGAGUUCGCCAAGUUGGGUCUUUAUCCUUCGAAGUCUGAUCCGGCGAUGUUUGUUAAGACUGACGAGCGUGGGGUUGUUAUUGCUUUGGUGCACAUAGAUGAUACCAUAGUUGCGUCGGAAGACCCGGAAAUGGUCCGGGCAAUUAAAGCCGCAAUUGCGAAGGUCUUCAAGGUGCGCGACCUUGGAGAAGCGAAGGUGUUUUUGGGCAUGGAAAUUAGGAGGGAGAAGUCGGGUGAAAUAGUGUUGUCGCAACAUAGGUAUAUUUCGCAGCUAUUGGAGCGUCAUAAGUUGGUUGACGCCAAGCCGAGGUCUACCCCUUUGCCUCCGGGCUUUAGGUACAAGGGGGAAGGAGAGGAAGGAGAGGAGCUGCUUUAGGUACAAGGAGGAAGGAGAGGAGCUGCUGGGCAAUCCCACCGAGUGUAGGGCUUUGGUGGGAGAAUUGAACUAUCUGGCGACGAACACGCGGCCUGACAUUUCAUAUGCAUUGAGCGUUUUGUCCCGGCAUAUGGCUGCACCUACGAAGACUGCCAUGAACUUGGCAACCGGCGUUCUGCGUUACCUGGCGGGGACUCGCGAACUAGGAUUGCGUUUUGGGGGUGUUGGCGAUGUUGCUAUGUCCGGCUACAGUGAUUCGGACUGGGCAGGAGACCCAGUUACGCGGCGUUCUACGUCCGGCUACGUUUUCACUCUUAAUGGGGCUGCGAUUAGCUGGAGCAGCAAACUUCAACGUACUGUGGCGGCUUCGUCGGUGGAGGCCGAGUAUCAAGCGACAGCAGCAGCUGUUCGCGAGGCUUUGUGGCUUCACAAGCUGAUGGUUGAUUUGGGUUUGCCUGAGAGCGCUAUCAGAAUCCAAAUAGAUUCCCAGGGGGCGCUUAGCUUAGGAAAUAACCCGAUUACGUCUGCUCGGUCGAAGCACAUCGACGUGCAGCAUCACAUAGUGCGUGAGAGGGUGAAUAGCGGUGAGGUGCAGUUGGAGUACUGCCCUACGGAGUGGAUGGUUGCGGAUGUGCUAACGAAGGCUCUGGGCGAGGUGAAGUUCAAACGUUGCCGAGAUGCGAUGGGCCUUGUGUGAAGUGUGCAGAUGAACUUGGUACUCGUUGGGAUACGGCCCGAGGGGGCGUGUUGAGGAAACGGUCCUCUCCCAACUCGUGUGGUUGUCGACCAGGGGAUUUGACCCCGGGUCUGCGCCUGACUAAUGGGGAAGACUUACCCCAGAACGUUAUGGGGCUACCGAUGUAUACCCGGUAGCUAAGUGAUAGACAUUAGGGCACCAUCAGGACGGCGCAGUGAGAUCGCGGAAUGUACGUGCAGUUAGAUCACGGAAUGUACGAGUUUUCCGCUAGCGCCGGUAUUUAGGGCGGUGGCUGCGCCUAUUUGUUUAUCUCACUACGAUCGGUAUUCCUCAUAGGAAUCUCCUCAAGUCCUGCCGAACGCUAAUAAUACUCUUUACAUUACUUGUAACAUUUUAUCGUGCUAAAUAUCUUCGCCACCGGCAAUCCCUCCGGAAUAACAAUCAGCGUUAGCCGUCACCGUCGCCAAUUCUUCAAUAUAGCACGAUGUGCAUGGAGCUUGGGCUUGAGCAGGCUUUGCUCGCCGAGCCGUGCAACGAGGAGCAGAUUCGUCAAUCACAGAAUGUCGUCAAUCUGCUAAUUAAGAACUUGAAGGACCUUCGUCUUCCAAUGGUUACCGGUGCCGCCAACACGAAGAAAGCUUGGGAUGCCUUGGGUUCGAUGUUUGCUGCCAACAACAACAAUCAACUCGCGAGCUGACCAGGAACUAAGUUGACGCGCCGUUGAUCCGCUAGAUUUGAUUGGAUGCUGGUGGUGAGUUGCCAAACUCAAAGAGUACACUCUGAAGUCGGAUGGGGUGAAUGGCUUAGGGUGCCCCUCUAGCAGGGGAGAGCAGGGAAUUGCCUCGGGAAGGAGGCCACUGGUGAAGCUUAACCACCCUGUAACAACAUCAACAUCAACAUGACGGUGCACCAGCUUGAUGUGUCUACUGUGUUUUUGAACGGUGAGCUAAAGAAGGAGUUGUGGAUGGAGCAACUGCCUGGUGAUGCAUCUAUUGGAGAAUUGGCGACGGUGACGGCUAACGCUGAUUGUUAUUCCGGAAGGAUUGCCGGUGGCGAAGAUAUUUAGCACGAUAAACUAUUACAAGUAAUGUAAAGAGUAUUGUUAGCGUUCGGCAGGACUUGAGGAGAUUCCUGGUAGGAAUACCGAUCGUUGUGAGAUAAACUAAUAGGCGCUGUCACCGCCCUAAAUACCGGCGCUAGCGGAAAACUCGUACAUUCCGCGAUCUAACUGCACGUACAUUCCGCGAUCUCACUGCGCCGUCCAGACGGUGCCCUAAUGUCUAUCACUUAGCUACCGGAUAUGCAUCGGUAGCCCCAUAAGGUUCUGGGGUAAGUCUUCCCCAUUAGUCAGGCGCAGACCCGGGGUCAAAUCCCCUGGUCGACAACCACACGAGUUGGGAGAGGACCGUUUCCUCAACACGCCCCCUCGGGCCGUAUCCCAACGAGUACCAAGUUCAUCUGCACACUUCACACAAGGCCCAUAGCAUCUCGGCAACGUUUGAACUUCACCUCGCCCAGAGCCUUCGUUAGCACAUCCGCAACCAUCCACUCCGUAGGGCAGUAUUCCAACUGCACCUCACCGNUAUUCACCCUCUCACGCACUAUGUGAUGCUNNNNNNNNNNNNNNNNNNNNNNNNNNNNNNNNNNNNNNNNNNNNNNNNNNNNNNNNNNNNNNNNNNNNNNNNNNNNNNNNNNNNNNNNNNNNNNNNNNNNCGCAAUUGCGGCUUAAUUGCCCGGACCAUUUCCGGGUCUUCCGACGCAACAAUUGUAUCAUCUACGUGUACCAAAGCAAUAACAACCCCACGCUCGUCCGUCUUAACGAACAUCGCCGGAUCAGACUUCGAAGGAUAAAGACCCAACUUGGCGAACUCUGCUGAUAGUUUUUCAUACCAGCAACGGGGUGCCUGCUUUAAACCGUAAAUAGACUUCUGCAGCUUGCACGCAAGCAACCGGUCACUGGAUGCAUACCCAGGCGGUUGCUCCAUCCACAACUCCUCCUUCAGCUCACCAUUCAGAAACGCAGUAGACACAUCGAGCUGAUGUACCGUCAUGUUCCGGGCUGCGGCAACUGCUAAUAAAGCACGCAAUGACGAACCACGAGAGGUAGGGGCAAACAACUCCCCAUAAUCAAUCCCCUCACGUUGCUCGAAACCCUUGGCAACUAAACGCGCCUUAAAACGCUCCACGCUGCGGUCAUCGCUGUACUUAACCUUAUAUACCCAACGACACGGCAAUAAACGAGUACCAGGAGGUGGCUUCUUCAGCUCCCAAGUACUAUUAGCCAUCUGGGCGGCGAUCUCCUCGUCCAUCGCACGCCGCCAGUCGUCUGCAUGUGGACUUGCAAUUGCUUCCUCAAACGAAUUAGGCUCAGGAAUACCAGCAGAGAAAGCAGCGUUAACGCGACCAGUGACAGUGCGACCAGGUUCGUUUCGCCACCAUUCGCCAGGGCGUUUACGCUCUCUAACUGGGUACCUAGUUCCCGCCAUUUCCACAUCAGGCUGAUUGAUUCCUUGCCCAUUCGCACUGCUGGAAGGUCCAGCCCCAGCCGGCGCCCCCUCGCCACCCAAAUGCGGCGAUCCCUCGCCGACGGUGCUACCUGGUGUCCCUUCGCCAGCCCUAGGCAGCGAUCCCUCACCAGAUAAACUAGUGCGAAACUCCUCCUCCUCGUCGGCAUCGGACUCAUAAUCGGAGUCCCCAGCAUUACGCCGCCGGCCGACAUUAGACUCGUCAAAACGAACGUUAGAAACUACGGCAAUAAUGCCGUCCUCGUAUAGUACACGAUACUGUCCACCGUUCCCGUAUCCGACAAGUAUUCCACGCCUGCUCACCGGGUCGAACUUGUCGCGCUUGACGUCGGGUACGUGGACGUAGGCAACGCAUCCAAAGACUCGCAGGUGACUGACGUUCGGACGAACAUUAAAGAAANNNNNNNNNNNNNNNNNNNNNNNNNNNNNNNNNNNNNNNNNNNNNNNNNNUCACAGAACGCCGCGUAACUGGGUCUCCUGCCCAGUCCGAAUCACUGUACCCGGACAUAGCAACGUCGCCAACACCCCCAAAACGCAAUCCUAGUUCGCGAGUCCCCGCCAGGUAACGUAGAACGCCAGUUGCUAAGUUCAUGGCAGUCUUCGUGGGUGCGGCCAUAUGCCGGGACAAAACGCUCAAUGCAUAAGAAAUGUCAGGCCGCGUGUUCGUCGCCAGAUAGUUCAAUUCUCCCACCAAAGCCCUAUACUCUGUGGGAUUGCCCAGCAGCUCCUCUCCGUCCCCCUUAGGAGUGUACCUAAAGCCCGGAGGCAAAGGGGUAGACCUCGGCUUGGCGUCAAUCAUCCUAUGACGCUCCAACAGCUGCGCAAUAUACCUAUGCUGCGACAACACUAUCUCACCCGACUUCUCCCUCCUAAUUUCCAUGCCCCAAAACACCUUCGCUUCUUCAAGGUCGCGCACCUUGAAGACCUUCGCAAUUGCGGCUUUAAUUGCCCGGACCAUUUCCGGGUCUUCCGACGCAACAAUUGUAUCAUCUACGUGUACCAAAGCAAUAACAACCCCACGCUCGUCCGUCUUAACGAACAUCGCCGGAUCAGACUUCGAAGGAUAAAGACCCAACUUGGCGAACUCUGCUGAUAGUUUUUCAUACCAGCAACGGGGUGCCUGCUUUAAACCGUAAAUAGACUUCUGCAGCUUGCACGCAAGCAACCGGUCACUGGAUGCAUACCCAGGCGGUUGCUCCAUCCACAACUCCUCCUUCAGCUCACCAUUCAGAAACGCAGUAGACACAUCGAGCUGAUGUACCGUCAUGUUCCGGGCUGCGGCAACUGCUAAUAAAGCACGCAAUGACGAACCACGAGAGGUAGGGGCAAACAACUCCCCAUAAUCAAUCCCCUCACGUUGCUCGAAACCCUUGGCAACUAAACGCGCCUUAAAACGCUCCACGCUGCGGUCAUCGCUGUACUUAACCUUAUAUACCCAACGACACGGCAAUAAACGAGUACCAGGAGGUGGCUUCUUCAGCUCCCAAGUACUAUUAGCCAUCUGGGCGGCGAUCUCCUCGUCCAUCGCACGCCGCCAGUCGUCUGCAUGUGGACUUGCAAUUGCUUCCUCAAACGAAUUAGGCUCAGGAAUACCAGCAGAGAAAGCAGCGUUAACGCGACCAGUGACAGUGCGACCAGGUUCGUUUCGCCACCAUUCGCCAGGGCGUUUACGCUCUCUAACUGGGUACCUAGUUCCCGCCAUUUCCACAUCAGGCUGAUUGAUUCCUUGCCCAUUCGCACUGCUGGAAGGUCCAGCCCCAGCCGGCGCCCCCUCGCCACCCAAAUGCGGCGAUCCCUCGCCGACGGUGCUACCUGGUGUCCGUUCGCCAGCCCUAGGCAGCGAUCCCUCACCAGAUAAACUAGUGCGAAACUCCUCCUCCUCGUCGGCAUCGGACUCAUAAUCGGAGUCCCCAGCAUUACGCCGCCGGCCGACAUUAGACUCGUCAAAACGAACGUUAGAAACUACGGCAAUAAUGCCGUCCUCGUAUAGUACACGAUACUGUCCACCGUUCCCGUAUCCGACAAGUAUUCCACGCCUGCUCACCGGGUCGAACUUGUCGCGCUUGACGUCGGGUACGUGGACGUAGGCAACGCAUCCAAAGACUCGCAGGUGACUGACGUUCGGACGAACAUUAAAGAAAGCUUCGUACGGAGUGACGGUUGACCCAGCAGUUGGCGACACAUUCCUAAGAUAGUUGGCUGUCGCUAACGCCUCCGCCCAUAAUGAUUUAGGCAGUCCAGACUCAACUAGCAUAGCCCUAGUCUUGUCCAAAAGAGUGCGAUUUAAACGUUCUGCAGCUCCGUUCUGCUCAGGGGUGUAGCCUACCGUAGUUCCGUGUAGAAUACCCCUGGAAGCGAAAUAGGCCUUCGUGCGAGUAUUAACGAACUCCCCGCCACGAUCUGUACGCACCUCCUUAACCUGCCUGCCAGUAGCGCGCUCCAGUUCCGCUAUCAUUACCACCAUCUUCUGGUAGACCUCCUCCUUGGUCGCUGUAAACGCAACAGCUGAAAGACCAGUAUGGUCGUCAAGCAGGGUUGUCACGUAACGCGAACCACUAGGCGAAGGUUCAGGCAUAGGCCCACACACAUCCAUGUGAAUGAGCACGAGAGGCUGCGCUGCCUUAUGCCCAGAUAACGGAAAAGGACCACGUGUAUGUUUAGCAAGGACGCAAGUCUCACACACACACGUGCUGGCUGAUUGUAUGCUGUGUCGGUCAACAUCAAAUCCAGCUACCAUAUUAUGACGCAGCAACGUCUCAAGGUUGCUGUAUCCCAAGUGGCCAUACCUUCGGUGCCAAAGUGCUGCACGUUCAGCUCCGAUACCCACGGCAGCACACACUGCAUCACCACCAGAAGGUAUCCUGUUGUCUUCACGCUGCGUCCUCUUCAGAGCUCCCGUACCUCCACUGCUGUAGCAGACGGGAUACCAGUGUUUUUUUUUUAAGUAAUAUAUUACUUUUAAGGAAUAAAGAGGCCUUUUUGGCCUUUGGAAAUAAGGAACAAAGUGAGGCCGAUCCGUACAUUUUCAUUCCUUCAGCCAAAAACGUCCAUUGCUGCCAGAUUGCUCCGUAGUGUGCAGAACUUAGUAUUAUCGAUCAUAAAAUAGAUAUGAGGGGCCGUAAGAAGGUCAAGCCCGUGAGUCAACGCGGCAUAGCAGAAUGUAUGACCGGUCCUUCCAUAGACAAACACGCAAAAGGCAACGACUUGAACGCCGAACAAACACAAAAACAGCAAGAUAAGUCUGAAAAUUUUCCUGAUAAAGGCGUUUGGGACGGCGGUGCUGUUGUCGGUAAUGCAUCGGCAAUGUUGCUGCCAGCGGCGACCGAUGACACGGGCGCCAUUACCCCUGCCUUCCAUGGCGGUUGUGAUCAGCAUAAGCGCAAGCUGUCACCCAAUCAGCUUGACAACAACGAAUGCGGCGAGGCGCCCAACCCGAGCGCUCGCAGUGCCAAGCGGGCUCAGACACAGCGCAUCUGCAAGGGCAUGAGCGACGGUGCAUGGCGGGACAAGCAACUGUGCGGUCCUCGCCGGCGGCUUAACGGAGUAUUCGGCUUUGGCCCAGCUGGUGUUAGUGAUGGUGCCAGGGUCGGUGGAGGAUGAGCGGCGGUUCUCGGCCAUGGGGUACUUGCAGGACCCCACCCGCAACCGCCUGGACGAGCACCUAGCAUUGUGUGUGCGGAUGUUUACCCAGGACCUGUUCGACCUGGGCACGUUCCCGUUCCGUGACGCACUGAGGAAGUGGCUGGACAGCAGCAGCAGGGGCCGGUACAUGAUGAACCGGUAGAGUCCUAGUGUGCUGUGGUUUUUUUUUUUUUUAGUGGCGGGUGACGGCCUUUGAUUUGCUAUGCGGUUGCUUGCUUUGGGCCUUUGCUUGGUCGGAUUUACUUUUUGUUCACAAACAGUGCCAGAACUAUCUAUGCAUGUGCAUGAAGCGUGCGCACAUGAACGAAAACGCGCCAACGCAGUGCGUGCCUCUUGGUCUAUGAGGGGAGUUGUAACUUAUCGGGGGGGGGGUCUGGGGCUCCUUAACCUGCCUGCCAGUAGCGCGCUCCAGUUCCGCUAUCAUUACCACCAUCUUCUGGUAGACCUCCUCCUUGGUCGCUGUAAACGCAACAGCUGAAAGACCAGUAUGAUCGUCAAGCAGAGUUGUCACGUAACGCGAACCACUAGGUGAAGGUUCAGGCAUAGGCCCACACACAUCCAUGGUCUGGUCUGGGUUGACACUACUGCGAUUCGCGGUUUAAGGUUCUGGGUUCGAUUCCUGGGGAGACCCCCGAAUUAGUCGGGAGCGCGAGAUUAUGGCUAGCUGCUGAGAUGUGGAGUUGAGGUCGCAGUUGAUGGACCAGAUUCGCACGCUAGAUUGGUGGCGAUUGCCGAACCCUCUGUCUCUUCGGUUGUUCGGGUGAAUGGAUGAGGAGGGGUCCUAGAUGGCUGGACCCGCCGCCUUGGACUUACAGUUCGUAUGGCGAAGUACAGUGUGGUAGUGGUGGACGGUGCUAUAAGAUGAUAAAUCGUAGAACUGACAAUGUGAUAAAGCGGCCCAGAAGCCUCCCACUCUGUAACAUUACAUUACAUUACAUCCAUGUGAACGAGCGCGAGAGGCUGCGCUGCCUUAUGCCCAGAUAACGGAAAAGGACCAC